AUUGAACGCUUGCGGCAUGCCUUACACAUGCAAGUCGAACGGUAACAGGUCUUCGGAUGCUGACGAGUGGCGAACGGGUGAGUAAUACAUCGGAACGUGCCUAGUAGUGGGGGAUAACUACUCGAAAGAGUGGCUAAUACCGCAUGAGAUCUACGGAUGAAAGCAGGGGAUCGCAAGACCUUGUGCUACUAGAGCGGCCGAUGGCAGAUUAGGUAGUUGGUGGGAUAAGCGCUUAACAAGCCGACGAUCUGUAGCUGGUCUGAGAGGACGAUCAGCUACACUGGGACUGAGACACGGCCCAGACUCCUACGGGAGGCAGCAGUGGGGAAUUUUGGACAAUGGGCGAAAGCCUGAUCCGGCAAUGCCGCGUGCAGGAUGAAGGCCUUCGGGUUGUAAACUGCUUAUGUACGGAACGAAAUGCCUCUGGUUAAUACCCUGGGGUCAUGACGGUACCGUAAGAAUAAGCACCGGCUAACUACGUGCCAGCCGCCGCAGUAA
rnacentral:rRNA from 1 species